UUUAAUGGGUGAAAUACCAAAAGAGGUCGGAUAUUUGCUUGGGUUAGGUUCUUUGAAUCUAUCAAGAAACAAUUUGAGUGGAGAAAUUCCUUCUCAGAUUGGGAAUUUAAGUUCACUAGAAUCACUUGACUUGUCAAGAAAUCACAUCUCUGGGAAAAUUCCUCCUUCUCUUUCUGAAAUUGAUUUUUUGGGAAAAUUAGACUUGUCACACAACUCUCUUUCUGGAAGAAUCCCAUCAGGAAGACAUUUUGAAACCUUUGAAGCCUCUAGUUUUGAAGGAAACAUUGAUCUUUGUGGCAAACAACUUAACAAAACUUGUCCUGGGGAUGGAGAUCAGACAACAGAAGAGCAUCAAGAACCACCAGUCAAUGGUGAUGAUUCAGUUUUCUAUGAGGGAUUAUACAUGAGCUUGGGGAUUGGAUACUUCACUGGAUUUUGGGGCUUAUUAGGGUCAUUACUACUGUGGCGUCCUUGGAGAAUUGUUUACAUCAGGAUUCUGAACAGAUUAACAGUAUAUGUAUGCUUAUGGUGAAUGUUGGAAGUGUUAGCUCCAAGGCAAAAAGAUGUGCUGCACGCUUCUGAACAGAGAAGAAAGCAUUGUUGGCUGCUACAAGUGCGAGAUAUUUCUUUAGUAUAGGAGUUUACAAUGUUUUCUAUUUAAGUAAUGAACUGGAAAGUCUUGUUUCCAGAAACUUAGUAUGCUAUUGUAUUUCAUUGUAUAAUAUAUUUGUAAUGCUGUUUAUUUUUCAUUA